UACGAAGGGGGCUAGCGUUGCUCGGAAUGACUGGGCGUAAAGGGCGCGUAGGCGGAUACUUAAGUCAGGGGUGAAAUCCCGGGGCUCAACCCCGGAACUGCCUUUGAUACUGGGUAUCUCGAGUCCGGAAGAGGUGAGUGGAAUUCCGAGUGUAGAGGUGAAAUUCGUAGAUAUUCGGAGGAACACCAGUGGCGAAGGCGGCUCACUGGUCCGGUACUGACGCUGAGGUGCGAAAGCGUGGGGAGCAAACAGG
rnacentral:rRNA from 1 species